UUCUUUGAAAGACCCCGGAGCAGGGAGACCCUCACUCAAGUCUCAGGAUGACUCGGCCCCCCAAGAACUCACAUGAGACU
rnacentral:pre_miRNA from 14 species